rnacentral:rRNA from 1 species
UUCAGACCUUGGAGGACUGAAGUGGAGAAGGGUUUCGUGUCAUCAGGGGGUGAUCACGAGUUAGUCGGUCCUAAGUUCAAGGCGAAAGCCGAAAUUUUCAAGUAAAACAAAAAUGCCUAACUAUAUAAACAAAGCGAAUAUAAUACACUUGAAUAAUUUUGAACGAAAGGGAAUACGGUUCCAAUUCCGUAACCUGUUGAGUAUCCGUUUGUUAUUAAAUAUGGGCCUCGUGCUCAUCCUGGCAACAGGAACGACCAUAAAGAAGCCGUCGAGAGAUAUCGGAAGAGUUUUCUUUUCUGUUUUAUAGCCGUACUACCAUGGAAGUCUUUCGCAGAGAGAUAUGGUAGAUGGGCUAGAAGAGCAUGACAUAUACUGUUGUGUCGAUAUUUUCUCCUCGGACCUUGAAAAUUUAUGGUGGGGACACGCAAACUUCUCAACAGGCCGUACCAAUAUCCGCAGCUGGUCUCCAAGGUGAAGAGUCUCUAGUCGAUAGAAUAAUGUAGGUAAGGGAAGUCGGCAAAUUAGAUCCGUAACUUCGGGAUAAGGAUUGGCUCUGAAGAUUGAGAUAGUCGGGCUUGAUUGGGAAACAAUAACAUGGUUUAUGUGCUCGUUCUGGGUAAAUAGAGUUUCUAGCAUUUAUGUUAGUUACUUGUUCCCCGGAUAGUUUAGUUACGUAGCCAAAUUGUGGAACUUUCUUGCUAAAAUUUUUAAGAAUACUAUUUGGGUUAAACCAAUUAGUUCUUAUCAAUUAUAACGAUUAUCAAUUAACAAUCAAUUCAGAACUGGCACGGACUUGGGGAAUCCGACUGUCUAAUUAAAACAAAGCAUUGUGAUGGCCCUAGCGGGUGUUGACACAAUGUGAUUUCUGCCCAGUGCUCUGAAUGUCAAAGUGAAGAAAUUCAAGUAAGCGCGGGUCAACGGCGGGAGUAACUAUGACUCUCUUAAGGUAGCCAAAUGCCUCGUCAUCUAAUUAGUGACGCGCAUGAAUGGAUUAACGAGAUUCCUACUGUCCCUAUCUACUAUCUAGCGAAACCACAGCCAAGGGAACGGGCUUGGAAUAAUUAGCGGGGAAAGAAGACCCUUUUGAGCUUGACUCUAAUCUGGCAGUGUAAGGAGACAUAAGAGGUGUAGAAUAAGUGGGAGAUAUUAGACCUCGGUUUGGUAUCGUCAAUGAAAUACCACUACUCUUAUUGUUUCCUUACUUACUUGAUUAAAUGGAACAUGUAUCAUUUCCUAGCCAUUAUACGGAUAUAUUUAUUAUCGUAUGGUAUUGGGUUUUGAUGCAAGCUUCUUGAUCAAAGUAUCACGAGUUUGUUAUAUAAUCGCAAACAAAUUCUUUAAUAAAACGAUGCAUUUAUGUAUUUUUGAUUUGAAAAUUUGGUAUAACUCCAAUUACUCAGGUAUGAUCCAACUCAAGGACAUUGCCAGGUAGGGAGUUUGACUGGGGCGGUACAUCUCUCAAAUAAAAACGGAGGCGUCCCAAGGCCAGCUCAGUGCGGACAGAAACCACACAUAGAGCAAAAGGGCAAAUGCUGACUUGAUCUCGGUGUUCAGUACACACAGGGACAGCAAAAGCUCGGCCUAUCGAUCCUUUUGGUUUAAAGAGUUUUUAACAAGAGGUGUCAGAAAAGUUACCAUAGGGAUAACUGGCUUGUGUCGGCCAAGCGUUCAUAGCGACGUCGCUUUUUGAUCCUUCGAUGUAGUCUCUUCCUAUCAUUGUGAAGCAAAAUUCACCAAGCGUUGGAUUGUUCACCCAUGCAAGGGAACGUGAGCUGGGUUUAGACGGUCGUGAGACAGGUUAGUUUUACCCUACUAAUGACAAAACGUUGUUG